GAUGAACGCUGGCGGCAUGCCUAAGACAUGCAAGUCGAACGAGACGACCCUUUGAAGAAUGAGUGCUUGCACAAAUUCAGAUUAGGAUAUCGUCUAGUGGCAGACGGGUGAGUAAUGUAUAGUUAAUCUGCCCUUUAGAGAGGAAUAACUACUGGAAACGGUAGCUAAUACCUCAUACUCCUUUUACCUUAAUGGUAAUUGGGAAAUGUUUUUUCGCUAAAGGAUGAGACUAUAUGGUAUCAGGUAGUUGGUGGGGUAAGAGCCUACCAAGCCAAUGACGCCUAGCUGGUCUGAGAGGAUGAUCAGCCACACUGGAACUGAGACACGGUCCAG
rnacentral:rRNA from 1 species